GGGACUGAACAUCGUUCACCAAAUACACUUUGUGAUGCUGGGCUUGAAAUCUACGGUUUUCCUGUCUUAAAAGAGAAUUCUGUGACUCCAUGGAAGACAUCUGAAUUUUGUUAGCAAGGAGUUCUUCUGUAGCUGCACGUUCUCUCUCAACUGCUGCUGCCAGCAAGAAAAACACAUACUUCUUGGAUUUGUGUUUCGGAAAACUGUGACAGUACCUGCUGAAGUUCACCGAUCUCAUGGCGUAAAUAAUCCUCCUUUCUGGCAGCUGCUUGUUCUGUACGCUGCAAUGCAAGCCUAAGGUCCCCCACCUGUAGGAGGAGAAACAAUACAUUCACAAACAAUGUUUUAGGUGAUGAAGUACCUGCUGCCAGAGUUUCCCCUGAAACACACAAAGAAGAGUCUUUUACUUGUGACUCAGUUGUUUCAGGAAUUCUUGACUGUCCAAUGUGCAAGGAUUCAUGUAAGCUGCUUUUCACUUCUUCUUCUGGUCGUUGUGAUUUUGCUGGAGGUUUUGAUACCACUGGACUCUUCUGAAUGGUCUGGACAUCAGUUGGCGAGAGAAAGGCACUGAAGAAAUUUUCAGAUUCAUCGACCACA
rnacentral:antisense_RNA from 1 species